UCGACGAUAAGCAAGAACAAAAGGGGGGAAACCCUAGCUUUCAAGGAUUCUCAAGAUUUGGAAGAAAUUGAGAGCCCAAAUCGAUGCAAGAACCCGAAUUGUCAACCAUCUAAGCUCAAACAACAAUAGGCGUGAAGGAGGAAGGCUCUAACACUAGUAAAGCGGGAGGUGUACAAGAUCGAGGUAAAGCACCUCUAUAGGCGAUUUGGAAAUGGGACGAGCACAUGUUCAAGCCUUAUAAUACCAAGCGCUUCUGCAACUUAUAUGCAUGCUUUUGGGUCGUGUUUGUUACUAGUUAAACUUUGUUGAAAUGUUUUAGAAUUGGAAACUUGUCGUUUUUGUUGGGUUGGUUUU